rnacentral:rRNA from 1 species
UAAUACAUUAGAAAUUAGGUAGUAACGAUAUAUCUGAAACCUAAAGGACUUGGCGGUAUUUUAAAUAAUUGGAGGAACUUGUUGUUUAAUUGAAAUUCCACAACAUAUCUUCCUCUGCUUUUGUUUGUAUAUCGUUGUUUAAGACAACAUUUUAAAAUGUAGUCAAGAUUAAAAUUUUUCACUAAAUCAAAUCAAGGUGCAGCAUAACAGGGUUACAAUGAGUUACAAUACAUUUCAUGUAAACGGAAAAUUAAAUGAAAAUAAAGGAAAAGGUGGAUUCAAAAGUAAUAAAAAAUUAAGAAGUUUUUAUGAAUGAAAAUUUAAAAUAUGC